rnacentral:lncRNA from 1 species
CUUUGUUACUCGUCAGGAAUUGGAUGUGUGGCUUUAAAUCACCAUUAGGAAUCCUGCAGCUCCUCGCCAACUUGGAAUAAUGACAAAUGGCUCCAUCCAUCCGGACGUUCAUGUAUGAAGCCACAGGGAUGAUGUGCAGCAGAAACACAAUGCAGAAAUCAACCCUCAGAAUGGAAUCAAUGUUUGGGAAGAUCUCACAGGAGCCUUUGGGGCUGCUUCUGAGUUCCACCUCUGGGAAGAGCACCUGGAUCCUUCAAAAGAAUGAGGCUGAUUUCUUGCAGCCCUAUCGAACCGAC